AUUCUGCCCAUGCGGGGAAGGAUGAGAAGCUUCAACCAAGGUUCGACUUGAGCGCCAGCGAGAGAGCGUUGCCGCAGGCAACGACCCGAAGGGAGAAGCGCGCAGCGCUGAGUAAUCCUUCUCCCACCACCA
rnacentral:sRNA from 1 species